rnacentral:lncRNA from 1 species
UGUCCAGAGCGCGGAGCAACACAACCAAGAUGUCAACUCUCUUGGUCUCAUCUCCUCAAGGAAGACCGCAGAGGCCAUUGACAUAUUGAAGCUCAUGUCCUCGACAUUCUUGGUCGCGUUGUGCCAGGCUAUCGACCUCCGCCACCUCGAGGAGAAUGUCAAGAAUGCUGUCAAGAGCUGCGUGAAGACGGUGGCUAGGAAGACACUGAGCACUGAUAACAAUGGCCAUCUCCACAAGGCACGCUUCUGCGAGAAGGAUCUUCUGCUCACAAUCGACCGUGAGGCCGUGUUCGUGUACGCAGAUGACCCCUGCAGCGCCAACUAUCCCCUCAUGCAGAAGAUGCGUGCAGUUCUUGUGGAGCACGCCUUGGCCAAUGGUGAGGCCGAGCGCGACGUGGAGACGUCGGUGUUUGCCAAGCUUGCCAUGUUCGAGCAGGAGCUCCGUGCAGUGUUGCCAAAUGAGGUCGAGGCCGCCCGCAGUGCCGUGGAGAAUGGCACUGCAACACAGCAAAACCGUAUCGCCGAUUGUCGGUCGUACCCGCUCUACCGGUUCGUGCGCAAGGAGCUUGGAACAGAGUACUUGACCGGGGAGAAGACGCGGUCUCCUGGCGAAGAGGUGGACAAGGUGUUCGUUGCCAUGAACCAGGGCAAGCACAUCGACGCGCUGCUGGAGUGUCUCAAGGAGUGGAACGGCGAGCCCCUACCUAUCUGUUGAACAGAGGAUCCAGGAAUGGAAGAGCAGUUGCUUCAGAUUUCAGAAGGCUCCAGUGAUUAUACUGUUUUUUCAUUGUAAUUUCUAAAAGUUGAUGUUUGCAACGUUCUUCCAGAGCUUCCAAUGCCAAAGAUUGCAAUUGCAUGACUUGGUAGUGUUGGGUAGCCGGUAGAACUUUGUUGAUGUAAGUUAUAAAAGGGUACAGUGUGUGAUAAGUUUCCAUGAUAAAUAUACUGGUUCAAGAAAGUAAAACUCGUGCCUUCCAGAGCUGCCAGUGGUAACUCCGUACUUGCUAGUUCCAUCAACACUGUACGAGGCCGUCUCUGAGUUCUCAAUCUUGCAUCUAGUUUUUGCAGUUUCAGUACUCUGCUCACUAAGUUCAAUCUAGACUUUAGUAUAAUGACUAACACUGUAUUAUUCACCUAUCGUACUACCGCAUACCUCUUCAUACAAUGUUUCGAUUGUUAAAGUAAGAUACAGGAGGGAAUGUCACAUGAAUGAAGAUCCUAACACCAAAACCAUCCUUAAUUUACUGCUCAUCUCAGGAUGUCCAUAACCAAGGCACAUACACAUGAAGUUUCUCUGCGCUUCUGAAGAUCGCACUAUUUUUUCAGUUCUAGUCAUGCGUCGGCAGGAAACGUAUAUGGAGAUUGUAAGGUUGCUCACGCAUGUGGCGCGUAUUACUACUCCUUUUGGCGCGUGCACCGACUGUCCACCGUAUCCUACCGACGUAUGUAUAAUGUAUGUCCGGCUGCACCGGCCGGCCACCGUAUCCUGCCAACUAACGCGUUCGUGUUGGAUGAAAUGAAGGUGUCAACCAGCUGUGUCCUGAUCUCGAACUCGAUAGGAGAAACAGAAAGCAGUCAAGUAGUCGUCUUCAAACGCGGUAGCGUGUCGGAGUACAGAGUUGAUCGUCGACAGAGUACAUAAUUAGAUAUGCUAGAUGCUCUCCCUGCAAAUCGCUGAUACAACGAUGCCUGACGAUUGCGUUGUUGUUAUUUGUUGCUUGUGUUUUUUAGGGAAUAGGCUUCAGCCAAGCUUUAUUAUAAGCUCGUGGUUCAGUACACAGUGUAGCAGAAGAGAGAAACCAAGGAGAUUCCUAGUUUUACAUAACAGGCGUGCAGAAAUAGAGGAGAAAAAACAAACUUUCAGGAACGGUAAAGACUAGCUCCUCAACAUACCUCACACGAAAAAAAUAGAAAGCAGUAGCGUCACUGGUUAUCAAUUUUUUCCCUCAAGCUGUUGUUUCAGCCUGACGACGCCCCCAUCGAAAUCUGCUUCAAGUUUCUUCUUCCAUCGUUGCUCAAGUUUUAGCACAAAGUGGAUUAGAAGGCAAGCAUACAAAAUCAGAGAAGGAAAGCCCGCAAGAAAGAUGAAAACGAGCUCCCCAACAUAUCAUCCUCACAUAUAACUCCCCUACAAGAUAGCACAAGAAAAAGCAGCUGUGUCAUUGGUUGAUUUUGCUGAAGCACUUGUUGUAGCUUGACGCCGCCGCCAUUCAUUUCAACCUAAAGCUUCUCCUUCCACCGUUUUCUCCAAUGCUGCAAUUGAAUGAUAACCUUGUAAGUGACAUCCGAAGGACAACGGAUAGCUUGGCCUCAAAUAUGAGAACAUCGCGGGCUAGCCACGUUGAGCGGAAGAACAAAGCCAGAUCAACAUCCGCGUCCCGAAAACUCCCCUAUAGAUUCAAAGCCGUAGCACAGCGAUUGUCAUGGCGCAAACAACACCAGCUGCACUUCUGAUUCGGUAGACUACUCAUUGGUUCUAAUAAAAAGAAGUUAAAAUGGUUCCUACGUAGUAACACAAUCACUGGUCGUUGUUAUCUUCGUGGUGGCUAGUUCCGCUUCCGUCCACAAAAUAUGAUGGCUUCUCUGAAUUCUCAGUCUUGUACCCACUUGUUCCUAUUUAAGUGUUCUAUUUACCAACUUCAGCCUGAAAUGUAACAAAUGCACAUAAUACAUAACAAAAGCACAUAAUAUGUUGUUCUCCUAACUUGGUGCUAUUAACAUAUUUUAGAUAGAAGAUUCUCAUUUCUUUGUUGGUGGCCGAACACAAAUAAUUUCUUUCGUCCAUAAAAAUGUUCACUAAACCAAAUAUCAUGUUCACAUGUAAUUUAAAGGGCACUCAAAGGAAGCUAACAAGAUGAAGUGACAUACAUGCCUCGCUAAAACCCCGCCCUCAUGUAUCAAAGAUCCCUCUCAUAUAUGAUUAAGAUUUGAGGAGAAAUUGAGGGAGUAAUAUUUUGGGGUUAUGUUAGGGGUGCAAUUACAGUUGGUAGGAUUCUUAAGCACACUCAACAUAUGCAGUUGAGUUGUUCAUUCAAGGGGAAAAUGCAGUUGUUCGUGCAUGCAUGGGAAACUGAUGCAUGGUAAAAUGUUAGCAAGUCAAUGGUCAACAACUUGAAUGCUGAUGAUUUGGUGGUGGAGUUCUUGGCAACCAUAGGUCAAGCGGAAUAUUAAUAUCCUCGCAGAACAAGUCUAACGUCAACAAAGAUGAGGUCGAAAUUAGGCAAUUGCCGGUCUUACGUCUUUAGCACCCAGGGUGCGAGAAUGUUUCAGGAAGAAAAUUGUGGAUAUUCCCUGAUUAGCAUGGGCGUUGAUGUUCAACUUAACUAGAUAAUACCCCCGCACGUUGUUGCGGGAAUAUUUUGUAACAUAUUUCAUUGUGUUUCGUUGUUGAAAACAUGAAUAUUUGAAAUAAUAAUACAAAACCUAAAACUAAAUAAUGCAUAUAAUUUAUUACGUUUGAUUACUAUAUAGUUGUAAAAUGUUUAUUAAAUAUAAAUAGCAUAAUAGAAUGAAAAUUCUCAUCUAUAUUUGCAUGUUGAGGUGGGUCUUUUUUCCAUGUAUGUUUCAUGAUGAAGUGGCAUGGUUGCAUGUUAAGAGACAUAUGCAGUGGGGUGGACCUUUUCUCACGCAUGUUGUUCGAUGAUAUGACAUGAUUGCAUGUUGAAAGAAAUAGUUAGUGAAGGCUAGCUAUUUAGCUAUAGAAGAUUUAAGCCAACAACCAAAUGGUCUCAAAAACAUUUCUUGAGUUAGGCAGUUAGCUAGCUCUCAUCGUUAUCUGCUUCAUUGGCAUGGGCACCGGUUAUAUAAAGGUGGAAAAAAUCUAUUUUUUUCAGGGAAAACAUCCAGUCUAUUAAUCUUCAAUCAUAGGGGUAUAACGAACAUCAGAAAUAAUAAAAAUUACAUCCAGAUCUAUAGACCACUUAGCGACGAUUACAAGCACUGAAGCGAGCCGAAGGCGCGCCGCCGUCAUCGCCACUCCCUCACCGGAGCCGGGCAAAACUUAUUGUAGUAUACAAUCGGGAAGUCGUCGUGCUAAGGUUCCAUAGGACCAGCGCACCAGAAUAUUAACCACCACCGAUGAAGAGUAGUGUAUAUCAUUUAUAACUGAAGAUCACUGAAAACAUCUAGUUGUAAUAGUUUGGAGGAGUUUGCAUGUUUUUUGCUUCAGAGGGAAUGUCGGGCAAACACCCUGUCUAACUAACUUCACUAAAACCGCGACAUUACGGAGUGAAUAUUAUUCAGCCUGAACUUGCACGGUUGCAAAUUAUAGUACAUCUGAAUUAAUCUAAACUGAUUCACUCCUUCAGGAGAAACUACUUGCACAGCUCGAGUGUCCACGUGCAUUUUCACCUCCAGAGAAUCACAUGCAGUGUGAUCAUACUGAUACAAGCCGGGGUUCUUGUCCUUGCGACUCGUCGGAUCAGGUCCUCAACGAUCUCUUUCUAUAGACUGAAGGUCAAACAAGAAUGUGCACAUGUAUGCAUGCAUUCGACCAACCUGUUUUUGUAAGAGCUGGCCGAUUGGCUAUGGAAAAUACGCUCCCUGACUUCGCACGACCAAUCACUUGACCACCCAGACGAAUCUGGUGGACACAACGAUGUAAACUUUAUCAUCAGUAAUUUCAAGGAAGCAAUUUCUAUGGCAUGCGUGGUCACGGUGUCGCGUCGGUGUGCACGCGGUGACCGACCAGGAAAGGCCGGACGCAGGACCAGUGGACACCGGCCGGUUCCUCUCCGAUGGAACAGCCGGAAUUGAGGCUCAGGACUCGGGAGAGAAAUCAAACGUCGCUUGCCGUGGAACGCGUGAGUCCGUGCGUGAGGCGACAGGGCACAUGCCGCGUUGGCGUGCAAACGCGCGCAAUGAAGCCCGAUCUCCGUACCACCGAUCACUGAUUAGGACGCCACAUGCUGCAGUCGGACUCUCUCCACAGUCGAACUCUUUGCAGUGUACUGCUGAGAUUCCAGAAUAUCUGGUCGACACAAGUCAAGUCUGUCCAGUCAAGUGUGCACCGAGGAGCGAAACUUCACACCGGAGGACCGGCAGUAUGCAUCAGAAUGGCUUCACAUUCAGACCGUCAUUUACUCAUAUGGAGAUGGAAUUGCACGGACGACCAAGACAGGAACAAAAGCGGGUUUCCAGAUCUUGAGACGAAGCUUCAGUAGAUCAAGUGGAGCUGAUAAUAAAGGAAUCAACAAAUCCACGUGAUACUGAUCACCGGCGUGUUUCCGUCGCGGGACUCGGCGACUGACUCACCGUGGGAGGACUGAUCAGUGGAUUAAUAUAAUUAAUCCAUAGGAAAGCAGCAGGAAAAGGAUAGGAAAAUACUCGAGAUCAUGAUCGAGUUUAAGCCCCAUCUAACCAUGUGUGCUUGGUUACUAGUGUAGUACGUGGGGUUCUUCACACCCCAAAGCAGUAGUACUAGUGGCCUAGUGAGCAGAUAACGACUCCGUUGUCCAUAGCAGGACUCCACUUUCUUUAGCUAAACAAAUCUAUCUCCUUUUCGGUUUAAGAUCUCCUUUCUGGUAGUUUGUACAUGUUGCAUGCAGCCGCCUUGCUUGUUUUAAAUGUUUCACUAUAGACGACACAGAACAUGAUUUACAUGAGUACAGUUUGCACGUUCGUAACUUUAGUGCAGCGGAGUUCAUCGUUAUAAUCGUACAUGCCAAAACAGGGGAUGGCGCUCUCGCGACCGCGCAGGUGGCGGCUGGGCGCGCGCCGCCGCCGGCCGGAUCUCCGGCCUCGGGCCUCCUUUGCUGCCGCCGAGACCGGAUCCGGACUCCCCGCGGCGUCCUCUCCCGCACCAGCCUCGGCGCCGCUCCGUCCCCUCAUCAACACCGCGACGCCACUCUCGCGAACCUCCGCCGCGGGAGCCGCUCCAGCGCCGUCUUCCACGUACAGAGAUCAGGUGACAUGCAUCUUUGCAUGUCACCGUGUGCCUUGCGGUCCGAAUUCAAAUUUAAACAUUACGAAAAAAUCUGAAAAAAAUCAUGCAUGUUCACAGCACAUAUUAAAAUAACCUCUAAAAAAUUCAGAUCAAAAUUCGAAACAUACAUCAAGAAGAAAAAAGAGAAACUCAGAUGUGAAUAGUAUACAGAGAACCAUUCGCAACUAUUCAUGACAGAUUUCUCUUUUUUCUUCUCGAUGUAUGUUUCGAAUUUUGAUCUGAAUUUUUUAGGAGUUAUCUUAAUAUGUGCUAUGAACAUGCAUGAUUUUUUUCAGAUUUUUUCGCAAUGUUUAAAUUUGAAUUCGGGCCGCAAGGCACACAGUAACAUGCAAAGGUGCAUGUCACCUGAUCUCUGUCCGUCUUCCACUGCUGCAGCCGCCGUCCUCCAGCCGCCAGCGUUGGUCCUUCGAGGGCUGAGCUCUGCCGUGGUCUCCUCUGCUUCCCCGAGUCCAGAUGCUCGCGAGUCCUCUGCCAUGUCGCUGCAGCUGCUGGGUCGUCAGACCUCGGUUGCCGGUGAUGUGGGUGCAGCCGUGGAGACCAGGUCGGGGCAGCCUCUGCCUGCGCGUGUCGUGCCAGCGUCGAACGCCCCGGCUGCAGGCAAUGUCCCGGCUACCGGCGCCAUCCCUCGACUGCGGCCGGUGCCCCCAAGUUUCAGAUUUAGGAAGGAAGCUGGGGGUGUUAAGGCCUCGCUGCGUUCCAAGACCGCGACAACAGCUGCUUCGGCACCGCCGCCUGCUACCCCCACCCUACUUGCCAAUGCCGCCACGGGCUUGCUGUUGCCGGCUCUUGUUGCCCCGGCCAAUGGCGACGGCAUGGACUGCGAAGAGGAGCUGCCCUCCCUGUCUCCAUCAGCUAACGCAGAGGGCAUCGUCGUUGGCAUGGGGGAUUUGCUGACCAGUGCGCGAAGUUCUGUUUUGUGGGCCUCUGCCGCUGACGAUGAAGACGAAGACGAAGAGGAGCUGGCCCCUCAGACGCCGCCGGCUGCAGCCAAGGCCGUCGACUCUGGCGAGAUGUGUGUGGGUCAUGAGGUGGACAUGGGUGGGGGUUGGCAGGAGGUGCUGCCGUGGUGCAGCCCGCAUCGGCUGACAUUGCCGCCGUCAUCCACGACAAUAGCUCUUCGUCCCAUUCCUGCUUGGCUUCACGGUAGAUGCUACAGAUGCUUUGCUCAUGGGCAUGGUGCGGCUCAUUGCAGAGAUCCGUUGCGGUGCUCACGUUGUUUGGAGAAUGGUCAUCGUGCGCACGGAUGUCGCAAUCCCUGGCGUCCUCUAAGCUCGCUGGCAUGCCUUGCCACGCUGCCCGUGGCCAGCGUCAACACCAUGCAUGGUCCUACAUCAGCUUUACGCAAGGGUCCAAUGAAAUUCGCGCCCCCCUCCAAGGCGCUUCACCGUGGGUCCUGGGCGUCUGUUGUAUCUGCUACGGCGGACUCGACAACCUCAUCUGAAGUGGUGCUGCAGUCCGCUCUAGCUGAUCAGAUUGCGCUGCUGCAAGGCUGCCUGGUGCGGGUUGGGAGCUUUUUGGAGCGGGCGGAGGUUGCUCUGAGUAGACUCUCCCUUAUGCCGGCUAUGCUGCAAACUGCUAUGACGUCACAUCCUCCUAUUGCAGUUGGUGUUUGCUCCGAGGAGCACACAGAGGCAAAGUUAUAUGGUUGUUUCUCCCCCCAUGUUGGGGACAUUUCGUCGUUGAUGUCUGCCUUGCCCCUUGUGUUAUGUACCUCUCAAGACGAGUCCAUUGCCAUGCUCGUGGCUCCGGUGCUGCAAAUCAUGCCCGAGAUUAGGGAGCUAUGUAUGAGCUCUGCUUCGCUUUUGUCAGUGAAGCACAUAAAGGUGGACUCACUAGUGACCUCGUGUGUGGGAGAUGAUUCAUGUUUGUCAUGUGAGCAUCCAGAGGCAUCUUCUGAGUCCUUCGGGUCGGAGGUGCAUGUGGUUGAGGAUAUUGAUGUGGCCGGUGUGUGCGCUAAUAGGAAGGCGUCUGCGGUUUCUUGAUGGAUGAUGCUUGUUUCUUGUGUUGUCGAUGUGAUUGUCCAAGUCAUUGUUGUUGGUGUUCUUGUCAGGGUUCUGUUGAGUUGUGCAAGUGUGGUGAGGUACGAUUGUUGUGUGUUAGGAGCAUGUGACGGGUUGUCUGUGUGGUCACGGUGUUUCGUGCUUCCCGAGUAGCCUGUUUCGGGUUGUUUGUAUCGGUUUCGCCCGGUUUUCCGAAAAUUAACUGGGCAAUUCUUUUCUUCUUAAUUAAUCGACGAGGCAAAUAUUUUGCCUCCGUUUCAAAAAAAACUUUAGUGCAGCGUUACCUCAAACAAAAAGCAAAAAUAGAACUCGUAGUGCACGGUUACUCGAAUCAGACUAUCAAUUAUCAAUUAGUAGGUUAUAGCAUGCAGCAUGUGUAUUUCAUGCGGUUGGUGUGAUGGGUAACUAAUUAACAAACAUGUACUCCCUCCGUCCGGAAAUACUUGUCAUCAAAAUGGAUAAAAGGAGAUGUAUCUAGACAUAUAAAAUAUUUUAAAUAUUUUAUUCACCGUAUAAAUUCAUUCCCUGGUAAAUCUCCUUUCUCCUUCCCUUCAACUCUCUUCCUCUGCCCCCUCUCUUGAGAGUCGACCAGGGCUGCCCGGCCCGGUCCAACGCCUCGUCCGACGGCACUACCGACCGGCGAUGGCUACAUAGAGGUGCCCGGGUCCUCCAUGUGCAUAUUAGGAUAGUAGAAGUCCUAGUUAAUCUUGGCUUUAUGUCGUGGUUUGGUGCCAUAUGCCAGCCUAUAGCUUAUGAGUGGUGUCGUUUGGUCGUCGAUGUUGUCUUCUUCCUUGCCCCCAUGGUGGAGGAAAGAGGAGGGCCAUGGAUCUGGCAGUAUCCCCCUCAAUAAGUUUGCUCCGAUGCUCUGGUAAGUGGUGGAGGUGGUGAGGUCGCUAUUUUUCUCUAGCCGUCGAGGUGGCGGCAAGAAGAGAUGUGUCGGAUCCAAGCACUCCUUGCCUUGUUGUUGUUCUGUUGUGUCGGAUCUGUGCGACUGGCACCGGCUUGGUUGGUUCCUAUGUUGCAGGAAGAGGUUUCCCAACUCGCCUUGUUUUUGCAGGAAGAUCCAGAUGCAGGGUGGUGAAGAUGUUGUUGGGGACAAGUGGAUCUUGGGCGACUGCUUUGGAUUAUCCUACGCAUCCACUGCGGCUGUCAAUGACUGAUCCGUUCCAACACGUGUUCGAUUUGCUUGGCCAAAGAGCGGACAGUUUUCUUCCUCGCGGCCACGUAUGUCACAAGGGAAGUAGUGCAUCCUUCAAGUAGAGUUCAUGGUGUGCUUCUAUGAAGAUUUCAUUGAACCAAGUGGUUGCGUACCCGGCACUGACUAAGUUUGUUCUGUGAGGUGGGUAUGUUGGACCUGAUUGCACUAUAUAUCCGUGUUUCGGGGUCCUUCUCGUAAAGUACAAGGACUUGGUUGUCAUUUCUUUCUAGUUUGGGGCAUGCCAUAAGAUGCUAUGUAACUUCACUUGGAUCAAUAUAGCAUCUGGGUCCUUUGAGACCCUUUAUUUGUUUAAAAAACCAUUCAUUACAAUUUAAACUAUGCAAAAAACUUGCAAAAAAGGAAAAGGAAAAGAAACAACUUAACAUGAAAAUUUGAACAUGAUACAAUUAAAUAUAGUGAGAUUUGCAACCAACUUAGAAUGCUCUAAUGGAUGAUGUCUGGCCAAUUUUAAAGCUUGACCAACAGUCCAAUCGAAAAAACCUGCAGCUGACCUCUUCUCUUAUUUUUGAAGAUGCUUUGGUCUUUUAGCAACAAACCGAAAAUAUUCAGAAAAUGGUGUUUAAGACAAAAAGAACUUUGAGCUCAAGCAACCAGAUAAUGAAGACCCAUUACACACUAGGCUGCCUAUAUUUUGUGAUUUAUUGAGGUAACACAUCUUAUGUGUAUUUAUUUGAUCACAUAGCAAUAUUAUUAAAAAAUGGCUUAAAUAUUUAGGUUUUUCAUCUCCAAUGAACCAGCUAAACCGAUGGUCCGACCGGUGAAAAUCAAAACUGACAACCUCAUCGAUUCAGUUGCCGGUCCCGUUUUGAAAACUAUGGUUGCAUGGUAGACAUGCUCUCAUGUUCACAUGAUAAGAACGUUAUGGACCAAACGUGUAAAUUUGUUAGUUACAAUAAUUUUGAUAACAUGGAAGCUUGCACAUGCAACCAAAUAGCUAUUUAAUGACUUGUAUCAUGGUUUAUCUAUGUAGGAUAUAUGGAUUAUAGUUAACACACAUACAUGUCUAGUUAUCAGUUGCAAAACAAGUAGAUGCACAAGAAUGUCAUGGACUGGGCUUGGGCAGCACGAUGGAGCUACCGGACAAGCUCGGGUGGCCACGAUCACGACCGAGGCUGUGACGCCCGGAUAAUUAGGCUACAGUAAUUCCACGUUAAUGAUGCCACGUCACCACGGUUACUGUUGUUAAUCUCGUGUUAGUUCAAAAUCGAUUCGAAAUUCAAACUUAAAAUAAAGUCAAACGGUAAAGAUUUUCAAAUAUUAAAACUAAAAUGUUGGGGUGUUGCCAAAUAAGGCAUAGGUAAUUAUUGUGGAGAAACCACACUUUUAUAAAAUGUUUAAAGGCUCUAAAGUAAUUAAAACAGCAGCUGUGACAAUUAAAUAAAUGCCUUUUAAAAAUAAUAAUAAUGCAAACUAUUUUAAUUAGGUGUCAAACUUUUUGGGGCAGUAGAAUAAAUUAUAACAUUAAAUUAGGAGUUGUAUUUAUAUUUUAUAAAACAAAAAUUAAAAGAAUAAAAUAGAAAAGAAAAUAGAUAAAGAAAAGAAAACAGAAAAGAAACAAAAAAAAAGGAAAGACAAAGCCCCCCUCCCCCUGGGCCAUUCGGCCCAACUGGGCAUCCAGGCCACCAGGAGGCCCACCCCAUUCCCCCUUAUCCCCCUGACCGACCGAACCCUAGCCCGAUCCCCUUUCCCCACUCGCCCCACUCCCUCUCCCUCGUCCCACUCCUCCUCNNNNNNNNNNNNNNNNNNNNNNNNNNNNNNNNNNNNNNNNNNNNNNNNNNNNNNNNNNNNNNNNNNNNNNNNNNNNNNNNNNNNNNNNNNNNNNNNNNNNNNNNNNNNNNNNNNNNNNNNNNNNNNNNNNNNNNNNNNNNNNNNNNNNNNNNNNNNNNNNNNNNNNNNNNNNNNNNNNNNNNNNNNNNNNNNNNNNNNNNNNNNNNNNNNNNNNNNNNNNNNNNNNNNNNNNNNNNNNNNNNNNNNNNNNNNNNNNNNNNNNNNNNNNNNNNNNNNNNNNNNNNNNNNNNNNNNNNNNNNNNNNNNNNNNNNNNNNNNNNNNNNNNNNNNNNNNNNNNNNNNNNNNNNNNNNNNNNNNNNNNNNNNNNNNNNNNNNNNNNNNNNNNNNNNNNNNNNNNNNNNNNNNNNNNNNNNNNNNNNNNNNNNNNNNNNNNNNNNNNNNNNNNNNNNNNNNNNNNNNNNNNNNNNNNNNNNNNNNNNNNNNNNNNNNNNNNNNNNNNNNNNNNNNNNNNNNNNNNNNNNNNNNNNNNNNNNNNNNNNNNNNNNNNNNNNNNNNNNNNNNNNNNNNNNNNNNNNNNNNNNNNNNNNNCGCGCUCACCUCGCCUGUCGCGCUCCUGCCGCGCCCACCGUUGCUCCCGCUCCGUCCCGCUCCUGGCCGCGCCCAACGCCUCCCCCGUUGAGGCCUCUCUGCCGCGCCCGUGGCUGCGUCCAGCUGCGCCGUGGCCACGCCGUCGUGCCCUUUCCCCCGCCGUGGCUCGCAUCCGCCCCGCUCGCCGCCCCUGCUUCACUCCCCGUCCGCCCUUACGCCGCGCCCUUCUCCAGCCGUCGUCGCCUCCUGCCACGACCCUCUAGUGCCGCCCCCCUCCACUCAGCCACGCCGGCCCCGAGCGUGACGGCCGCAUCCCGCUCGCCCGGCCUGGCCGCGCCUCCUACCUCCCACUCCCCGCCUAACCGUCUGCGCCGCCACGACCUUGGGCCCGCCCACACGGGGGCCGCACGCUCUAACCGCUGCCGGCUCCGGUCGCCGUGGCCCUGGGCCCCCCCCCCUCCGUGCCUGGUGCUGGCGCUCGUCGCCGACGCCUUCUCUAUGCAAGAGCGCACAACCAGGACGCAUGGCCGUGUGCCACUGGCCAAUGGGGUCCGUUCCCUGAAAAGGAAAAGAGACAGAAACAAAAGAGAAAGAAAAGAUUUGGUAAAAAAAAUAAAAAAUAAAAAUAAAUUUAAUUAAUUAAUUAACUAAAUUAAUUAAGUUAAUUAAUCCUGUUUAAAUUAAUCUAAUUAAUUAGUUAAUUUAAUUAAACAGUAAUUAGUUUAACUAAACCCUAAUUAACCUAACAGAGUAUGACACAUGGGUCCCACUGGACCCACGCGUCAGUUAGACCCUGUAAACCCCUGUUGACUGCUGACGUCAGCAUGACAUCAUGCUGACGUCAUAAAUGCACUUUAGGAUUAAAUUAAUUCUGUUAAUUCUAGAAAAUGAUAAAAUCCUUUUAAAAUUAAUAUAAAAUAAACCGUAGCUCGGAUGGAAAAACCUUGUACAUGAAAGUUGCUCAGAACGAUGAGACGAAUCCGGAUGCGCAGCCCGUUUGUCCGCCACACAUCCCUAGCAUAGCAAACACGCAACUUUCCCCCUCCGGUCCGUCUGUCCGAAAACGCGAAACAUCGGAAAUACUUUCCCGGAUGCCCCCCCCCCUUCGCCGGUACCUCCUACUGCCGCGUUAGGGCACACCUAGCACCGCUCAUUGUCAUGUCACGCAUCGUCAUGCUUAUGUUUGCAUUGUAUUUACUGUUUCUUCCCCCCUCUUCUCUCCGGUAGACUACGAGACCGACGCUGCUGCUGCCCAGUUCGACUACGGAGUUGACGACCCCUCCUACUUGCCAGAGCAACCAGGCAAGCCCCCCCUUGAUCACCAGAUAUCGCCUAUUCUUCUCUAUACUGCUUGCAUUAGAGUAGUGUAGCAUGUUACUGCUUUCCGUUAAUCCUAUCCUGAUGCAUAGCCUGUCAUUGUUGCUACAGUUGUUACCCUUACCUGCUAUCCUACUGCUUAGUAUAGGAUGCUAGUGUUCCAUCAAUGGCCCUACACUCUUGUCCGUCUGCCAUGCUAUACUACUGGGCCGUGAUCACUUCGGGAGGUGAUCACGGGUAUAUACUAUAUACAUUAUAUACAUGACACAUGUGGUGACUAAAGUCGGGUCGGCUCGGUGAGUACCCGCAAGUGAUUCUGAUGAGGGGGCUGAAAGGACAGGUGGCUCCACCCCGGUAGAGGUGGGCCUGGGUUCCUGACGGCCCCCGACUGUUACUUGUGGCGGAGCGACAGGGCAGGUUGAGACCACCUAGGAGAGAGGUGGGCCUGGCCCUGGUCGGCGUUCGCAGAUACUUAACACGCUUAACGAGAUCUUGGUAUUUGAUCUGAGUCUGGCCAUUUGGUCUAUACGCACUAACCAUCUACGCGGGAGUAGUUAUGGGUAUCCCGGCGUCGUGGUAUCAGCCGAAGCUCUUCUUGACGUCAGCGACGGAGCGGCGCGCGCCGGAUUGGACUGGAACGCCUGCUAGGCUAGGUCUGCUUCCGGCCGCCCUCGCAACGUGCAGGUGUGCAAUGGGCGAUGGGCCCAGACCCCUGCGUGCAUAGGAUUUAGACCGGUGUGUUGACCUCUCUGUUGAGCCUAGGUGGGGCUGCGACAUGUUGAUCUUCCGAGGCCGGGCAUGACCCAGGAAAGUGUGUCCGGCCAAAUGGGAUCGAGCGUGUUGGGUUAUGUGGUGCACCCCUGCAGGGAAGUUUAUCUAUUCGAAUAGACGUGUCCCUCGGUAAAAGGACGACCCGGAGUUGUACCUUGACCUCAUGACAACUAGAACUGGAUACUUAAUAAAACACACCCUUCCAAGUGCCAGAUAUAACCCGGUGAUCGCUCUCUAACAGGGCGACGAGGAGGGGAUCGCCGGGUAGGAUUAUGCUAUACGAUGCUACUUGGAGGACUUCAAUCUACUCUCUUCUACAUGCUGCAAGAUGGAGGCUGCCAGAAGCGUAGUCUUCGACAGGAUUAGCUAUCCCCCUCUUAUUCUGGCUUUCUGCAGUUCAGUCCACUGAUAUGGCCCUUUACACAUAUACCCAUUGCAUAUGUAGUGUAGCUCCUUGCUUGCGAGUACUUUGGAUGAGUACUCACGGUUGCUUUUCUCCCUCUUUUCCCCUGUCUAUACCUGAUUGACGCAACCAGAUGCUGGAGUCCAGGAGCUAGAGAUCCCGAGGAUGAUUCUACAUGGAGUUCGGCUUCGAGGAGUAGUUAGGAGGUCCCAGGCAGGAGGCCUUGCCUUUUCGAUCGUUGCUACUUUUGUGCUAGCCUUCUUAAGGCAAAUUUGUUUAACUUAUGUCUGUACUCAGAUAUUGUUGCUUCCGCUGACUCGCCUAUGAUCGAGCAAUUGUAUUCGAGCCCUCGAGGCCCCUGGCUUGUAUUAUGAUGCUUGUAUGACUUAUUUAUGUUGUAGAGUUGUGUUGUGAUAUCUUCCCGUGAGUCCCUGAUCUUGAUCGUACACAUUUGCGUGCAUGAUUAGUGUACGGUCAAAUCGGGGGGCGUCACAAGUUGGUAUCAGAGCCGACUGCCUGUAGGAAUCCCCCUUCCAAACUCCUUGGCCGAAGUCGAGUCUAGCCUUUACAAAACUUUUACUAACAUGGCUGUGUGGCUUACGGGCCCACGUCGCCAUUGGGUGGUAUUAGGAUCUUUUACUCCUUGUCUAUACUCUGGGACUCUGAUCUCUCUCCUAUUCGGGUUAAAUGAAUUUUGCUAAAUCUAACAUUAGGAUCUCGUUAUCACUUUCACCCGGAGAGCCCCUUAUUACUGAUGAUCGUCUGCUGCACGUGAAGACCCUGAAGAUACUCUCCGCUGAUAACCCGAGAACUUGUGUUCAUCGCUUUUGCAAUUCCCUUUCAUCGAUAAACUCCUAUGGAUAACCGCGUAUACUUGCCAUUCAUACAAUGUUUCCCAGUUGAUCUUGUUAUUACAAGAUACCCCGAAAUUAUCUCUGUUGUUCCGAGAAUCCUUGAACUUACUGCCUUGCUGUUCUUUGUCACCUGAAUACCCCUACGGAUAAUUCUCGCACUUACCGAGUAUCCGCUCAUCCCCAGUUGAAUUCAAGUAUAUCACAAAAGUGUUCAGAAUACCAAUCGAUCUUCUGAAAAUCCUCAGGAGCCUAUUGCUCUUGAAAUUCUUGCUUACUAGUAUUAUGAUUAAUCCCAUAAGUCUCGAAAUCUUAUUGGCACCCUUUGUCAUUAUCUUUUUGAGUCCAUUGAUUCAAUAUGUUGCGAAUGCUCGCAAUCCUCAAUCAGAUCCUAGAAUUCAUCCUUCCGGCUCAGACAUCAUUUUUAACAUGAGCUGGAUCUCGACCAAUCAAAUCGUCAUCGAUUGUACCCCUAAGCCUACUCAACUUAUCCAUCCUUGAUCAGAGCGUUGCUUCUGACCCCCUGAUUUGGAAAUCAUAAUUCUUUUACAUUUGAACUUUGAGUUAGUCAGUUGUUUCUAUAAUCAGAUCUCCUUGCAUUCUUCCUCCUCUGGUUGAGUACCGAUGCUCACAUCAGAUCCCUUGUGGACCAUCGGUUCCUUUGUUGGAUUUUAUCCGACAGCGUCCUUCCUAUUGAAUAACCUUGUGAGCCUUUCCAUGGGUAUUUAAUGCCUUUGGUAAAUUGUAUCAUCUGCUUUGGAACAAUGCUCUUCUUUCGAGCUUGUAAUAUUUACUCCGAAGUUUGUGGUAUAUGUUCCUAAGAUGCCCUGAUGGGUUGAACCUAUGCCUUCCUUAAUCUGUGUGAACCCGAAAGUUUUCCAAGGUUCAUACUCCUCUGGUAAUUCACCAGGUAGGUCUUCGCACUCAAAUUAUUUUUAAUAGAGCAGUGAAUGAAAGGUUAUGCAUUGCAGAAGUGGGAGUCGACCUUGAACCUUCGUGUUCAUGCCCAUGGACACGAUGUAGAUCCUAUCAUGGAAGCUUCUUAUAAUAAUAGCUAUUUCCCUGGUAUAAUAUCAUCUAGUAUCGGUGAAUUAAUCCUUUGCAAUCGUGGAUCCGACCAUGUUUCUCCUUGAUUCCGUUUCUCGUGCAAGUUUGAGCACUUGUCUUCUGCAAAGCAAUACCCUAGUCCAACCUCUACCUUGAUCUGUCGUCGAGUAUUACCCCCUGGUAUCCCGAGAUUAUCACGGAACUGCAUAACUUCUUAUGAGUUCUCCAUCAAGUAUUACAUUCUCAUUUAUUCCAAUUUUUCACGAGCCCCGAGUUAUUAAACACUCAAGGACAUCGAUAACUGAAUCGAGUCCGCAUCACGAUUAAACAACUCUUAGUAAUCUCCUUUGCUUACGAGUUUGUACUCGAUCACGUCAUCCCUAGCCUGCUCGGCUAUGUCAUUAUCAUGCAACUUUUUAACUGUGCUAUCUGGUCCUUCUUUCCGAAGCACGAUUUUCAACGAUGAGCUAAGCUUACGCCGACCUUCCUCGUCUUAUCAAUUCUCCUUGGACAACAAGCUUGGUCUCGAGUUUGUGUCGUACCCGUGGUUUCAAUAACCUUUCGCUUCAUCAUUCCUUUGACUUGAUGUCAUCGCCGAUCGAUUACACCUUCAUGAAAUCUCUCGACAAAUGUGUCGUGAUCAUCAUGAGCAUUCUGAGUCCUUCCAGAAUAUCAAUUGAAUUCAUGAUGAGAAAGACCAUCCUUUCCCUUGAUGAUUUGUGUUAUCAUCGGCCACUUUACUGCCUUCCCUCCAACACAAACUUGUUCGUGUUUUGUGUUAUACCUUGAGAUCCUUGCUAUCCAGCAUUUGUUCCUCUUUACUUUGGAGUAAUACCAAAUUUUAUAUCAAGAAUGUCGUGAGAAUUUCACCACCUCUUUAGAAUUCUUGAUAUAGUAAUACAUCUUACCGUCUACAUUCAGUUCUUGGUCCCCAUGUUGAUUUUAACCGAAGUACCCACAAAUGAACUGUGAUGUGUAAAAUUCAAAACUUCCAGCAACCCUAUUGCUUGUAAGUUAAUGAACGAUAGUUCAUUCCUUGUGGAUUGGUUAUCGAAUCACCAUUCUAACCUUGAUCAUGCUACCUAAGCCCAUAUUCGGGUGCACCUUUCAACCAAUGUUUAAUUGUGUAUGUUUUCCUCGAGCAUACAUCAUUAAGUCAUUCGAUCUAGCUAUUGCUAUCUCCUUGUUCACAUAGUUGUGGAAAUCCAUCUUUUGGAAAUCUGAAUGGAUUGUCGCUGAGUCAAUCAGUCACCUCCUCACCUCUCCUUGAUUUAAUGAUGAACCCUUGUUCGGAACUCGCUUCCAUAGUUCAUCUCCCGAGAAUCUUCGAUGUCGUUUCGACAAUUUGUGUUGCACCUUUCUUCUCAGGCAUCCUGAGUCUGAGUUAUCCUGACACCAAUCCAAUCUGAAUCUCGGUCAAAUAUGAUGGUUGGAACAUAUUUCCAAGAGUUAUAACAUUGGUCUCUACAUAACCCGGUAAGGUGGUGUCUUUGCUUAGCACCCCUAGUCAGAGGACCUUUUGUUAUAAUUUCCUUUUUUAGCAAGGUUAACUAUUCUUCCAUGAGGAAAUUGUAAGACUUACUCUAUAAGUUGUUCCUGAUGGAUCCUUUGUGUAUCCAUGGCCUGAUCUUACCUAUUGACCAUGUCAAUGCUAUCUCGAAGCAUGUCUAUGGUACUCUGAUUUUCAACAGGAACAUUUGAAGCCCAAAGCUAAUUGUUUCCUGCUCAAUUAUCCAAACACCGUUGUAUGGGUAAUGUCAUGAAAAUUCUCUCCCGUACCUAAAGAGUUUUCUACAUUAUAUCAUGUCAUGGAUAUCAUGCUCUGCUUGUCCUAGGGAAGGAUACACCCUUGAAAUAUGUGUUUAAACACAUUUUCCUUUCCAUUCUUCUGUUUAAUCUGAUAAUCAUAUUUUCCUUCCCAUUGUUUGGUUUAACCUUUCUGGUGAUCUAUAUGAUCUAAGCAGUAAUAUUCUCCUGCUUAUGUAAACACCUCGGUGUACAAUUCUGUCAGCAAGACCCUGUUACUAUUGUUGAUGACAUCCCGGUAGCCACCGAUGGACGAGAACUUUGCCUUAUGGUCCGCCUCGUUUCAACGAGCAGGAAAAUGGUUCUCUUCGUCCCUCGCCCUUGGUACCAACGUGUUGCCGACAUAACUGACAGGGUACUCUCUGACAUGCCUUGCUAUCAUGACCAUGCAACAUGUCACUGCUCCUAUAAAAAAAACCCCACAUGGUGGGCCCAUAACCCACAGUUCCACAGGAUCGAAAACUGACUCUCCUGUACACCCCUGUUGCCAAAGCUAUUCAUUUUGCUUGACUUCGUAAGUAAUUCACGGGUCACCUUCCUAGUGCUCAAUUUUGGUAUCAGACACAAUACUUAUUCCCGUUGCUUAGAACCCUUCAGGCAUCAAACGAUUGCCUGCCCGCUCGAAACUUCCCCACGAUACCUCCUUACUUUGCUCUCGAUAUUGUCUUAAAUUUCCAUUCGAGAGUUACUUUCCGCCACCUUCCCCGAUGUUAUCAACCAGAUAGUCAACCGUUCAGAGGCCUAUUAUUCCGAAGUUACCCCUUGUCCUUCGUAAGUACGAUGGAGUUCCCGAAGGAAGGAUGCCAGCUUCAUCAUGAUGACCUGAAGCAGGAAAAUGAAGACAUCAACGUAAUGGAUCAACCGCUUCGAGAAGAGCAACCAAGAUCGAGAACGCUCUUAGAAUUUCGUGACCAAAUCCCUUUCCCGUCACUUCCCCUCUUAAAUCUCGGGACGAGAUUUCUUGUAGUGGAGGAGAAUUGUGACGCCCGGAUAAUUAGGCUACAGUAAUCCCACGUUAAUGAUGCCACGUCACCACGGUUACUGUUGUUAAUCUCGUGUUAGUUCAAAAUCGAUUCGAAAUUCAAACUUAAAAUAAAGUCAAACGGUAAAGAUUUUCAAAUAUCAAAACUAAAAUGUUGGGGUGUUGCCAAAUAAGGCAUAGGUAAUUAUUGUGGAGAAACCACACUUUUAUAAAAUGUUUAAAGGCUCUAAAGUAAUUAAAACAGCAGCUAUGACAAUUAAAUAAAUGCCUUUUAAAAAUAAUAAUAAUGCAAACUAUUUUAAUUAGGUGUCAAACUUUUUGGGGCAGUAGAAUAAAUUAUAACAUUAAAUUAGGAGUUGUAUUUAUAUUUUAUAAAACAGAAAUUAAAAGAAUAAAAUAGAAAAGAAAAUAGAUAAAGAAAAGAAAACAGAAAAGAAACAAAAAAAGGAAAGACAAAGCCCCCCUCCCCCUGGGCCAUUCGGCCCAACUGGGCAUCCAGGCCACCAGGAGGCCCACCCCAUUCCCCCUUAUCCCCCUGACCGACCGAACCCUAGCCCGAUCCCCUUUCCCCACUCGCCCCACUCCCUCUCCCUCGUCCCACUCCUCCUCNNNNNNNNNNNNNNNNNNNNNNNNNNNNNNNNNNNNNNNNNNNNNNNNNNNNNNNNNNNNNNNNNNNNNNNNNNNNNNNNNNNNNNNNNNNNNNNNNNNNNNNNNNNNNNNNNNNNNNNNNNNNNNNNNNNNNNNNNNNNNNNNNNNNNNNNNNNNNNNNNNNNNNNNNNNNNNNNNNNNNNNNNNNNNNNNNNNNNNNNNNNNNNNNNNNNNNNNNNNNNNNNNNNNNNNNNNNNNNNNNNNNNNNNNNNNNNNNNNNNNNNNNNNNNNNNNNNNNNNNNNNNNNNNNNNNNNNNNNNNNNNNNNNNNNNNNNNNNNNNNNNNNNNNNNNNNNNNNNNNNNNNNNNNNNNNNNNNNNNNNNNNNNNNNNNNNNNNNNNNNNNNNNNNNNNNNNNNNNNNNNNNNNNNNNNNNNNNNNNNNNNNNNNNNNNNNNNNNNNNNNNNNNNNNNNNNNNNNNNNNNNNNNNNNNNNNNNNNNNNNNNNNNNNNNNNNNNNNNNNNNNNNNNNNNNNNNNNNNNNNNNNNNNNNNNNNNNNNNNNNNNNNNNNNNNNNNNNNNNNNNNNNNNNNNNNNNNNNNNNNNNNNNNNNNNNNNNNNNNNNNNNNNNNNNNNNNNNNNNNNNNNNNNNNNNNNNNNNNNNNNNNNNNNNNNNNNNNNCUGCGCGCUGGCCGCGCCCAGCGCCUCCCCCGCUGAGGCCUCUCUGCCGCGCCCGUGGCUGCGUCCAGCUGCGCCGUGGCCACGCCGUCGUGCCCUUUCCCCCGCCGUGGCUCGCAUCCGCCCCGCUCGCCGCCCCUGCUUCACUCCCCGUCCGCCCUUACGCCGCGCCCGUCUCCAGCCGUCGCCGCCUCCUGCCACGACCCUCUGGUGCCACCCCCCUCCACUCAGCCACGCCGGCCCCGAGCGCGACGGCCACAUCCCGCUCGCCCGGCCUGGCCGCGCCUCCUACCUCCCACUCCCCACCUAACUGUCUGCGCCGCCAUGACCUUGGGCCCGCCCACAUGGGGGCCGCACGCGCUAGCCGCUGCCGGCUCCGGUCGCCGUGGCCCUGGGCCCCCCCCUCCGCGCCUGGUGCUGGCGCUCGUCGCCGACGCCUUCUCUGUGCAAGAGCGCACAACCAGGACGCAUGGCCGUGUGCCACUGGCCAAUGGGGCCCGUUCCCUGAAAAGGAAAAGAGACAGAAACAAAAGAGAAAGAAAGAUUUGGUAAAAAAAUAAAAAAUAAAAAUAAAUUGAAUUGAAUUAAUUAAAUAAAUUAAUUAAGUUAAUUAAUCCUGUUUAAAUUAAUCUAAUUAAUUAGUUAAUUUAAUUAAACAGUAAUUAGUUUAACUAAACCCUAAUUAACCUAACAGAGUAUGACACAUGGGUCCCACUGGACCCACGCGUCAGUUAGACCCAGUCAACCCCUGUUGACUGCUGACGUCAGCAUGACAUCAUGCUGACGUCAUAAAUGCAUUUUAGGAUUAAAUUAAUUCUGUUAAUUCUAGAAAAUGAUAAAAUCCUUUUAAAAUUAAUAUAAAAUAAACCGUAGCUCGGAUGGAAAAACUUUGUACAUGAAAGUUGCUCAGAACGAUGAGACGAAUCUGGAUGCGCAGCCCGUUUGUCCGCCACACAUCCCUAGCAUAGCAAACACGCAACUUUCCCCCUCCGGUCCGUUUGUCCGAAAACGCGAAACAUCGGGAAUACUUUCCCGGAUGUCCCCCCCUUCGCCGGUACCUCCUACUGCCGCGUUAGGGCACACCUAGCACCGCUCAUUGUCAUGUCACGCAUCGUCAUGCUUAUGUUUGCAUUGUAUUUACUGUUUCUUCCCCCCUCUUCUCUCCGGUAGACUACGAGACCGACGCUGCUGCUGCCCAGUUCGACUACGGAGUUGACGACCCCUCCUACUUGCCAGAGCAACCAGGCAAGCCCCCCCUUGAUCACCAGAUAUCGCCUAUUCUUCUCUAUACUGCUUGCAUUAGAGUAGUGUAGCAUGUUACUGCUUUCCGUUAAUCCUAUCCUGAUGCAUAGCCUGUCAUUGUUGCUAUAGUUGUUACCCUUACCUGCUAUCCUACUGCUUAGUAUAGGAUGCUAGUGUUCCAUCAAUGGCCCUACACUCUUGUCCGUCUGCCAUGCUAUACUACUGGGCCGUGAUCACUUCGGGAGGUGAUCACGGGUAUAUACUAUAUACAUUAUAUACAUGACACAUGUGGUGACUAAAGUCGGGUCGGCUCGGUGAGUACCCGCAAGUGAUUCUGAUGAGGGGGCUGAAAGGACAGGUGGCUCCACCCCGGUAGAGGUGGGCCUGGGUUCCUGACGGUCCCCGACUGUUACUUGUGGCGGAGCGACAGGGCAGGUUGAGACCACCUAGGAGAGAGGUGGGCCUGGCCCUGGUCGGCGUUCGCAGAUACUUAACACGCUUAACGAGAUCUUGGUAUUUGAUCUGAGUCUGGCCAUUUGGUCUAUACGCACUAACCAUCUACGCGGGAGUAGUUAUGGGUAUCCCGGCGUCGUGGUAUCAGCCGAAGCUCUUCUUGACGUCAGCGACGGAGCGGCGCGCGCCGGAUUGGACUGGAACGCCUGCUAGGCUAGGUCUGCUUCCGGCCGCCCUCGCAACGUGCAGGUGUGCAAUGGGCGAUGGGCCCAGACCCCUGCGCGCAUAGGAUUUAGACCGGCGUGUUGACCUCUCUGUUGAGCCUAGGUGGGGCUGCGACGUGUUGAUCUUCCGAGGCCGGGCAUGACCCAGUAAAGUGUGUCCGGCCAAAUGGGAUCGAGCGUGUUUGGUUAUGUGGUGCACCCCUGCAGGGAAGUUUAUCUAUUCGAAUAGCCGUGUCCCUCGGUAAAAGGACGACCCGGAGUUGUACCUUGACCUUAUGACAACUAGAACUGGAUACUUAAUAAAACACACCCUUCCAAGUGCCAGAUAUAACCCGGUGAUCGCUCUCUAACAGGGCGAUGAGGAGGGGAUCGCCGGGUAGGAUUAUGCUAUACGAUGCUACUUGGAGGACUUCAAUCUACUCUCUUCUACAUGCUGCAAGAUGGAGGCUGCCAGAAGCGUAGUCUUCGACAGGAUUAGCUAUCCCCCUCUUAUUCUGGCGUUCUGCAGUUCAGUCCACUGAUAUGGCCCUUUACACAUAUACCCAUUGCAUAUGUAGUGUAGCUCCUUGCUUGCGAGUACUUUGGAUGAGUACUCACGGUUGCUUUUCUCCCUCUUUUCCCCUGUCUAUACCUGAUUGACGCAACCAGAUGCUGGAGUCCAGGAGCUAGAGAUCCCGAGGAUGAUUCUACAUGGAGUUCGGCUUCGAGGAGUAGUUAGGAGGUCCCAGGCAGGAGGCCUUGCCUUUUCGAUCGUUGCUAGUUUUGUGCUAGCCUUUUUAAGGCAAAUUUGUUUAACUUAUGCCUGUACUCAGAUAUUGUUGCUUCCGCUGACUCGCCUAUGAUCGAGCAAUUGUAUUCGAGCCCUCGAGGCCCCUGGCUUGUAUUAUGAUGCUUGUAUGACUUAUUUAUGUUGUAGAGUUGUGUUGUGAUAUCUUCCCGUGAGUCCCUGAUCUUGAUCGUACACAUUUGCGUGCAUGAUUAGUGUACGGUCAAAUCGGGGGCGUCACAGAGGCGCAGGUAGAGAGGGAUGAGGAAUUGUUUUUGGCGCCAGCAACUAAAAUAUGAGUAAUGCUACGUCCACAGAUAGGUCAAGGGGGAUCUACGGGCUGGCCGGAGCACUUAAAUUUAGGGUAUAAUUAGGAGAAGUUAUUUAUUUAUUAGGUCAAUUGACUAAAAGAGUUAUUUAGGCCAAUAAAAUCAGGACAUGUCAGUUUUUUCCUAAUUAUCACCUAAAUCUUCCGAUAAACUUUGUAGGUGGAGCAUUAUAGCUAAAAAUCCAGAUCAAACUUCGAAACACACACCGGGAAAAAAAAUCUGAAAUAAAUUGUUCCAAAAGAACACAAAACAUGAAUAGUGACAGAAAUAACACUAUUCGCAAAAGGAAUUUUCUUUUUCAAUGUAUAUUUCGAAUUUUGAUCUGAAUUUUUUAGGGGUUAUAGACUAUGUCUUGUGAACAUCCACCAUUUUUUUCAGAAUUUUUUGAAACAUCUUAAUGUGAUUACUUUAAAAUUAGAGCAUGGGAGCAUGUGAAAGGUGGACAUGUUUCAGUGUCUCUUCGAUUUUCUAGAAUAGAGAGCCUUAGUGCGGAUCUACAAGAAUGAGAACAUGUAGUAUUUGAACCUGAGUUCACAUGCUCUGUAAUGAACAGUCAAAUCAGAAAAUAAGUUCGAAAAAUAAAAAAAAUUAUGACUUUUUUGUGGUAAACAUUGAUGAACGCUUCAACCGUGCAAAAUGUUGUGAUGAAAUCACAAUCGUGCAGGUCUGGGCAAAAAAGGCAAAAUCAAUGCUUUAAAAAGACUAUUGUUGGAGGGAAAAUUUUGUUCGCCACUCCAGAUUUUGACAUUUCACUUUUGCCACUCUUAGUUUUUGACAAUUGACAAUUAUCACAAUUGCCAUUAUGUGGCAAAAGCUAAAUUUUCGGAGUGGCAAUUGUGAUACAUUGUCAAAAGCUAAGAGUGACAAAAAUAAAAUAAAUGAUUUUGCUUUUGCCACGGAAUGGCAAUUGUGAUAAUUCUCAAAAGAUAAGUGUGACAAAAGUGAAAUGUCAAAAUCUAGGGUGGCAUAAGAAAAAUUGACAAAAUCGAUUGUCAUUUCAUCACAAAACAUUGCACCUAGUUAAAACAUUCAUCAAUGUUUGUCACAAAAAAACUCGGAAUUAUUUUAAUUUGUUACUGUAGUUUUUGAAUUUUACUAUUCACCACGGAGCAUGUGCGCUCGGGAUCAAAAGAGCACUUUUUGUAGAAUGACUCCAUCCUCACCACGGAGCAUGUGUACUCCCGACGUCAAGUUACUCAAACGCUUCACCCCUGCGAGAACCCAAAGCUUUGCUUGUUCUUUAAAAUGUAAAAGUUGAUUCGCGGUGGCGUAGAUUUCUUUCGAAAGACCUUCAUGUUUCUCUCAUUUCGGAUUGACCAAGUGCUGAGCAUCACAAGGGACACUAAUGCCUUGCUACCGGUGGCAGUUGAGUCCACCAAUCACCCACGGAGUGAUAAGCCCAUUAGGAGGGGUCGAGGUUAUCGAGAUCCGAGACCUAACCAAGCUUUGAUCAACCUCUAAACACACAUUACAGACAACUGAAAACAUAUACUACUCCCUCCCUUCCUAAAUAUAAGUCAUUUUAAAGAUUUCACUGUAGGCUACAUACGGAGUAAAAUAAGUGAAUCUAUACUCUAAAAGGUGUCUAUAUACAUCUGAAUGCAGUCUUUAUAGUGGGAUAUCUAAAAGGACUUAUAUUUAGGAACGGAGGGAGUAUGAUGCAUGCACGUAUAGAAAAAGGUGAACCUCCCAGAAAAAAAUGGUAAUGUCAUCAGUCCAUACCAACGUUGCCCGUAGCAAAGUUAGAUUCCUCGGAGACAAGAUUGAAGAAACAAAUAGCAUUGCAUCUUACUCUCUUCGUUCCUAAAUAUAAGUCUUUCUAGAUAUUUCAAUAAGUGACUACAUACAAAGCAAAAUGAGUGAAUCUAUAUUUUAAAAUAUGUCUACAUACUUCCAUACGUUGUAGUCCAUUUAAAGUGUCGAACGGAGGGAGUAGAUAACUCGGAAUGAAAAUUAACUCGGACAACGAAGUCAGCAGGGCAGAUAGCCCUCCGUGCCACCAACCCCCGUCCCCCUCGCGCGGCGCGCACCAACCAGUUCGUGCUUUGCCCACGUCGACUCAGUCCGGCUGCCACAAAGCGAGCACCGCGCGUAGCCACCGCCCCCGCUCCGUGCGCUCCCGUGGCGACAGGAGCUCCGCACCAACCAAUUCAGUGGUCAACCUCGCCGUCCAGCUCUACACCAACCCACUGCCUCACACCUACUCCUACUACUCGGUUGCGCCUCCGCUGCCUAUUUAUUCCCUCCCCUCCCUCCAUUCCCCUCCAAGAAGAGCUUCAGCUUCAUCUGCAGCUACAGCUCCUCUUCAGCACAACCCUUUCUUCAGGACACAGAUCAAUCCAGAUACGCAUACACCACCUGCCGAGUGCCGACGUCUAGCUGCUAGCUUACUUUCGGAAUCCAGAUACACAUACACUUGGUUUAGUACGUCUGUGCAUAUUUCAAUGGAGUGCGAGAACGUCAAUGGAGAUGGCUUGUGCGUGGCACAGCCGGCGCGGGCUGACCCGCUCAACUGGGGGAAGGCGGCGGAGGAGCUCUCGGGGAGCCAUUUGGAGGCGGUGAAGCGGAUGGUAGAAGAGUACCGUAAGCCGGUGGUGACCAUGGAGGGCGCCAGCCUAACCAUCGCGAUGGUCGCCGCGGUGGCUGCCGGCAGCGACACCAGGGUCGAGCUCGACGAGUCCGCCCGCGGCCGCGUCAAGGAGAGCAGCGACUGGGUCAUGAACAGCAUGAUGAACGGCACCGACAGCUACGGUGUCACCACCGGCUUCGGCGCCACCUCUCACCGGAGGACCAAGGAGGGCGGCGCUCUCCAGAGGGAGCUCAUCCGGUACGAAUUGAACCGCCGAAGAAGUUCCACUUCUACUUCCUGUUAAGCACUUCUGUCAUGUGUAUGAGUUGCGUUUAUGGAAGCCUUAUUUUUUCUUGUGUUGCUUGCCUGUUCAGAUUCCUUAACGCUGGAGCCUUCGGUACCGGCACUGACGGCCACGUUCUGCCUGCCGCGGCGACAAGGGCGGCGAUGCUCGUCCGAGUCAAUACCCUGCUCCAGGGAUAUUCAGGCAUCCGCUUCGAGAUCCUGGAGACGAUCGCCACACUUCUCAACGCCAACGUGACACCAUGCCUACCGCUUCGGGGCACGAUCACCGCGUCGGGUGACCUCGUCCCGCUUUCCUACAUCGCCGGCCUGGUCACCGGCCGCCCAAACUCCAUGGCGACGGCUCCGGAUGGUUCGAAGGUUAAUGCUGCGGAGGCAUUUAAGAUCGCUGGCAUCCAGCACGGCUUCUUCGAGCUACAGCCCAAGGAAGGCCUUGCCAUGGUGAAUGGCACGGCAGUGGGCUCAGGCCUUGCAUCCAUGGUGCUUUUUGAGGCAAACGUCCUUAGCCUCCUUGCUGAGGUCUUGUCGGCCGUCUUCUGUGAGGUCAUGAACGGCAAACCGGAGUUCACCGACCACUUGACCCACAAGUUGAAGCACCACCCCGGGCAAAUUGAGGCUGCUGCCAUCAUGGAGCACAUCCUUGAAGGCAGCUCCUACAUGAUGCUCGCAAAGAAGCUCGGUGAGCUUGACCCACUAAUGAAGCCAAAGCAAGAUAGAUAUGCACUCCGCACGUCGCCGCAGUGGCUUGGCCCUCAGAUUGAGGUCAUCCGUGCUGCCACCAAGUCAAUCGAGCGGGAGAUCAAUUCCGUCAACGACAAUCCACUCAUCGAUGUCUCGCGCGGCAAAGCUAUCCAUGGUGGCAACUUCCAGGGCACGCCCAUCGGUGUGUCCAUGGACAACACCAGGCUUGCCAUUGCUGCAAUCGGCAAGCUCAUGUUUGCCCAGUUCUCGGAGCUGGUGAACGACUUCUACAACAACGGUCUGCCUUCCAACCUCUCCGGCGGGCGCAACCCAAGCUUGGACUAUGGCUUCAAGGGUGCCGAGAUUGCCAUGGCCUCGUACUGCUCCGAGCUCCAAUUCUUGGGCAACCCUGUGACCAACCAUGUCCAGAGCGCGGAGCAACACAACCAAGAUGUCAACUCUCUUGGUCUCAUCUCCUCAAG